GGUGAUAUGGCCGAGCGGUCUAAGGCGCUAGAAUCAGGUGUUACCUAUAUCUAGUCUUUCGAGGCGUGAGUUCGAAUCUCACUGUCGUCA
rnacentral:tRNA from 1 species